rnacentral:rRNA from 1 species
CUACGGGGGGCAGCAGUGAGGAAUAUUGCACAAUGGGGGGAACCCUGAUGCAGCAACGCCGCGUGGAGGAUGACGCAUUUCGGUGUGUAAACUCCUUUUAUAUGUCAAGAAAAUGACGGUAGCAUAUGAAUAAGCACCGGCUAACUCCGUGCCAGCAGGCCGCGGUAAUACGGAGGGUGCAAGCGUUACUCGGAAUCACUGGGCGUAAAGGACGCGUAGGCGGGUUGGAAAGUCAGGUGUGAAAUCCUACAGCUUAACUGUAGAACUGCACUUGAAACUUCUAAUCUAGAGUAUGGGAGGGGGAGAUGGAAUUAGUGGUGUAGGGGUAAAAUCCGUAGAUAUCACUAGGAAUACCUAAAGCGAAGGCGAUCUCCUGGAACAUUACUGACGCUAAGGCGUGAAAGCGUGGGGAGCAAACAGGAUUAAAUACCCCUGUAGUC